GAUGAACGCUGGCUACAGGCUUAACACAUGCAAGUCGAGGGGAAACGACGGGGUAGCUUGCUUCCCCGGGCGUCGACCGGCGCACGGGUGAGUAACGCGUAUCCAACCUGCCUCUGACUGAGGGAUAGCCCGUCGAAAGUCGGCCUAAUACCUCAUGGUAUCGUCUGCGGGCAUCCAACGACGAUUAAAGAUUUCAUCGGUCAGGGAUGGGGAUGCGUCUGAUUAGCUUGUUGGCGGGGUAACGGCCCACCAAGGCUACGAUCAGUAGGGGUUCUGAGAGGAAGGUCCCCCACAUUGGAACUGAGACACGGUCCAAACUCCUACGGGAGGCAGCAGUGAGGAAUAUUGGUCAAUGGGCGAGAGCCUGAACCAGCCAAGUAGCGUGCAGGAAGACGGCCCUAUGGGUUGUAAACUGCUUUUAUGCGGGGAUAAAGUGAGGGACGGGUCCCUCAUUGCAGGUACCGCAUGAAUAAGGACCGGCUAAUUCCGUG
rnacentral:rRNA from 1 species